GAAUAGGCUUCACUCCGAGCCGAGUUCACCUAAAGUUAACUCUACGGUAACCGGCCAGGGCCUAUGGCCCUCGGGGUAUGUCUGGAAACGGAUAUGCCUUCACGUUUUGAAAAGGAGAUGGUAAUGCCGAUGGC
rnacentral:ncRNA from 1 species